rnacentral:rRNA from 1 species
CCCUUAGAUGUUCUGGGCCGCACGCGCGCUACACUGGCUGACUCAACAUGUUUUAUAUCAUUUCGAUAUUUUCGCUUGGUUGAGAUGCCUGGCUAAUCAUUUUAAUGUCAGCCGUGAUGGGGCUAGAGUUUUGCAAUUAUGACUCUCUAACGAGGAAUUCCUAGUAUGGUCAAGUCAUCAGCUUGUCCAGAUUACGUCCCUGCCCUUUGUACACACCGCCCGCCGCACCUACCGAUUGAAUGGUCCGGUGAAAUCUCGGGACGGCGGCUUGGUCGCUUGCGUCCGACUGCUGAAACUUGAUUAAACCAUAUCAUUUAGAGGAAGGUGAANUCGUAACA